rnacentral:pre_miRNA from 1 species
UCUUGGAGUAGGUCAUUGGGUGGAUCCUCUAUUUCCCUAUGCGGGCCACUGGAUGGCUCCUCCAUGUCU